rnacentral:sRNA from 1 species
ACUAAUCCUAGCCCUAGCCCUACAG